GAAAAGGAAGAGAAAAUGCUUUUGUGUAGGCGUCAUUCGAAGCUUAUUAAUCAAUUUAAUCAUAAAUAUGAUCGGUAUUAUAACAACGUUAUAAAUUCAGAUUCUUAUAACGAUUAUUUUUUAAUAGAUAGAGUAAAUAAUUGUAAAGAUGUUUAUGAAAUACUUUAUACGGUGCACGCGAUUGUUUCUCGUUACCAUGUCAACGCACGCGAUUUAUAUCGAUUCGUUGAUUACUAUGGAAACGUAUCAUGCAACACGUCGAUUCUAUCAGCUCUUCAGAAUAUAUUUUACCGUAGAUGAAAUCAUGACAGGUUUGAAGAUUCAUGAAUAAGGAUGUCUUCGUUCUGUGCUAUAUAGGUCAACGCUGGAAUGUGUAUUGCCCACCGUUCCCGAAUGACUAGUCCAACAACCUUGGCAUCUACUGCCUUCACAUCUAAUCUUCCUCCAGUACGGUCAGUACGUCAAAUGCCACUUCCAUUAAUGGCAUCAGUAAGUGAUGAUCCAAUUUCUCUUUGGCUUAAAUUGGGUGCCUUAGAAAAAUUAGAACAAGUUGUUCUUGAUGGAUAUGGUGAUCAAUUAUAUGGAAAAACAUCCAGAAUACCUCAAGUUAAUAAAUUUUUAAGACAGAUACCGGUGUUUCAGAACAAAAUUGAUGAAAUUCAUCGAGCAGUUUCACAAGGAAAAUUAAGAGAAAUUCAACAUCUUAUUGAUAGAAAAAAACUGGCUUUCUGUCGUGAUCAAAUGGGUGCUAGUCCUCUACAUAAAGCUGUGUUAUUUAAGCAGAAAGAAAUAAUGACAUAUCUGAUAACUCAUUAUGGAAGCAUUAUUCAUACUCGUGAUCACCAAGGAAGAACUCCUCUUCAUUAUGCUGCAGUUCUUCAAGAUAAUGGAGAAAUAUUCAAUAUGUUAUUGGAAGCAGGAGCUGAUAUUAGGGCAACAGAUAUGUAUGGACGUCGCCCAGAGCAUUAUAUGCAAUCUCAGGAAGGUUUUACUUUACAAGAUCUUAAAGCAAGUUCAACUGCAGCAAUUAAAAGAAAACAAAAACAUACGUUGCCAAAACAUCAUCAUAAGAAACAUACAUCAAAAAAUAAAUCACAUAUUCAAGAAAUUAUAGAUGAAGGUAAUUUAGAAAAAUUAGAAGAAUUGGUAUUACAAGGGAAAGGAGAUAAAUUAUUUGGUGAGACUUCUGCUAAUAAAUUAGUUCAAGAUUUCCUUGACAAAGUUCCUUCAUAUAUGGAAAGAAUACAAUCUAUACAUAAAGCUGUUGUAAGAGGUAAUUUAAGAGAUGUUAAAUCUCUUUUAGAUCGGAAAAAUUUAGCUAUAACAAGGGACCCAACAGGAGCUACACCAUUGCAUAAAGCUAUAAUAUAUGGUCAUCAUGAAAUUGCCAAAUAUAUUGCUCAAAACUUUCCAUCAUCAAGAGAUGCAGUAGAUGGAGAUGGACGUACUGCUUUACAUUAUGCUGCUGUAUUGAAGGAUAAUAAUGAAAUGUACAACAUGUUAACAGCAAUUGGAGCGAGAAGUAGCAUUCUUGAUUCAAAAGGAAAAACUCCUGAAUACUAUCUUCAGCAUCCUGAACAAAUAAACAUGGAUUAUGUUUUAAAGAAUAAUCAAAGAGCUAAUGCUACAUAUAUUGCAAAUACUGCAAGUCGUCUUAAAUUAAAAGUCCCUUCCUCUCAACUGAAUAAACCUUCAGACAAUUCAAAAAGUACAGAAGAAAAAGGAGAUUAUUUUGAUGUUGACUUAGACGACCAGGUUAAUGCAGGUAAUCAUUUUGAAAGCAAUCUUCCACUGUAUAAAAGAGGCAUUGUUCUCAGAAAUAAACCUGUAAAUCCACCAAAACCUAAACGUAUAGAAGUUACAUCAGCAAAUAUUCAUAAAUGGAUAUCAUCUGAAGAUAUACAAAAGCUUGAAGAUGCUGUAUUAGAAGGCUAUGGUGAUAAAAUUGCUAAACAAACGGCUGAAAAUGAAGAAAUCCAAAAUUUUAUAAAUACUAAUGUUCCUAAGUUAUUAGAAAAAAUUGAAGCAAUUCACUCAGCAGUUUCAAAUGACGAUUUAUCGGGCCUCCAAGAUUAUUUAGAUAAGGAUGAUUUUGCAUUAGCAAAAGAUCAUUUAGGAAGGAAGAACACCUCUUCAUUAUGCUGCUUCUGUUGCUCAGAAAGAUAAAAUGAGAAGUUAUAGGUUAUUACUUCAGGCUGGAGGAGAUCCAAAAAUUAGAGAUAAUCAAGGACGUACACCAGAAUAUUAUCGAACUCAUCAUGUUGCUAUUCCUAGUAAAGCUGAAAUAAAAUCAAGAACUAAACAAAGUAGAAGAACAACAUCAGAACCUCCUGCUGCCUCACGUAAUAAAUUAGGAG
rnacentral:misc_RNA from 1 species